rnacentral:rRNA from 1 species
GACGAACGCUGGCGGCGUGCUUAACACAUGCAAGUCGAACGGUGAAGCUCCAGCUUGCUGGAGUGGAUCAGUGGCGAACGGGUGAGUAACACGUGAGCAACCUGCCCCUGACUCUGGAAUAAGCGCUGGAAACGGCGUCUAAUACUGGAUACGAGAAGGGCCCGCAUGGGCACUUUCUGGAAAGUUUUUCGGUUGGGGAUGGGCUCGCGGCCUAUCAGCUUGUUGGUGAGGUAAUGGCUCACCAAGGCGACGACGGGUAGCCGGCCUGAGAGGGCGACCGGCAACACUGGGACUGAGACACGGCCCAGACUCCUACGGGAGGCAGCAGUGGGGAAUAUUGCACAAUGGGCGAAAGCCUGAUGCAGCGACGCCGCGUGAGGGAUGACGGCCUUCGGGUUGUAAACCUCUUUCAGCAGGGAAGAAGCGAAAGUGACGGUACCUGCAGAAGAAGCACCGGCUAACUACGUG